ensembl:lncRNA
CUGGUUACUGUCGCUUCUUUAGUAAACAGUUUCUGUCCCAUAUUGCCCCAAACAAUUAUAAUUCUUCAUACACAUGCGCACAAAGUCAAAGGUCCAGCAACCACCAUGUGCUAGAAAGUGAGAGGUCCUUUAAGCCCCAGGGUCUCUCCUGUCCAGAGAACUGAUCUCCAAAGCUGCCAAACUGUCUGGACCCCAUAAAUAAAGCCACUGAAAAGCAAAGCGCUGUGAUAAGCUGUGUGGAAGGCCAUGCCCUAAGCAAAAUUUUCAGGGAGGGGAAGGAAGUAGAGGCCUUAAGGGUAUUAUCACUCUGGGCUGUAAGAGGGCAGAAAUGACCCACGGGGACCAUUACACUUAAUACCAUGUCUAUGCAAUUGUGUUCUGAUUCAGAGAGUGUGACAUAUUUUCAUAGUUUGAAUUACUUACAUAUUGCUGUGUAAGACAAUAUCCCAGAUGUACUGGCUUAACAUAACAGGCAUUUAUAAUAGCACACAGUUUCUGAGGAUCAGGAAAUCUAGAAGCAGGUUCCCCAGGUGGUUUUAGAUCAGGGGGGUUGCAGUCAGGAUGCUGGUGGAGGUGCCCCCUUCAUCUGAAAGCUUGGCAAGGAUGGAAGAUUCACUUUUUGUUUGUUUGGACUAUUUUUAAAAGUUUUUAUUGAACUUGAUACAGUAUUGCUUCUGUUUUAUGUUUUGGCUUUUUGGCCCUGGGGCAUGUGGCAUCUUAGCUCCCCGACUAGAGUUUGAACCCUCAUCCCUUGCAUUAGAAGGCAAAGUCUUAAUCACUGGACCACCAGGGAAGUCUCCAGAAGAUUCACAUCUAAGUUCACUCACAUGAUUGUUGGCAGGAGGAGACAGAGAGGAGAGAGACAGGGAGAGAUAGAGAUGAAGAGAGAGAGCACAAGAGAGAAGCUACAGAGUUUUUUAUAAACGAAUCUGGAGGAGCUCCAUACCAUCACUUCUGCCAUAUUCUAUUGGUAGUAAGGACCAACCCCUGGUAUCAUAAAGGAGGGGGCCGACUACAUGAGAGUGUGCAUACAGGAAGCAGGAUCGCUGGGGACCACCUUUGGUAGCCAGUCUCUAUGACAUAGUGCUUUCUAUUUUUUGCCAGGGUGGUGCUAACAUGCACAUUUCCCCGCAAAUGUUGGUGGGCAGCACACAUUAGCCACAGCUCAAAUUUUCUGACCUCUAAGCUAACAAUGUAUUCUGAUCAAUAGAUCCAAAUGUAGAAUUUGCAGCUUGAUGUCUGAAGAGAUUAGAGAGAAUUCUGUUUCUUAAAUAUGGCAGUAAGUAUUGUAAAUACUUUGGUGAUAGGAAGAAAGCAUUUUCUCAGUCUGCAAUGAUAUUAUUAUAAAUGUCUUCUUGAGCUCAGGGAGUGAAUUGCUUCCUUUAGCUCGACCACAGGGAUGUUGACUGCGACCCUCUGGUGCCGGGGGUGCUUGGAUCUGUCUCCACUUGCUCCUCGGACCACGUCUGCUCUCCCCGUUAGCUUCUCCAGGAGACAAAGCUCAAGCUACCAGCCCAUUAAGAUGACGACACCAAGACUGCCGACUGGUCUAGUCUGUGACUCACCCAGGACCAGGCCCCAGGCCAGUGCUCGGGACUCCCCAGGCUGGGCAGAAGAGCAUGAGGGGUCUCCACCCACCUGCUCCUUGGUAUGCCUCUGCCCUGGCAGGGCAGCCCCUUCUUCUGGCCGGCUCUUGACUCUCCUGGGUGCAAUGCCCUUGGAGCAACCCUCAGAGGUUCCUAUCACUCUCCUACCUCCUGCCCCCCUCGCCAAAAACUUAUUAAGCAGUCGCCUGUCA